rnacentral:rRNA from 1 species
CGUGAGUAACCUGCCUUGGAGUGGGGAAUAACACAGUGAAAAUUGUGCUAAUACCGCAUAAUGCAUUUGGAUCGCAUGGUUCUGAAUGCCAAAGAUUUAUCGCUCUGAGAUGGACUCGCGUCUGAUUAGCUAGUUGGCGGGGUAACGGCCCACCAAGGCGACGAUCAGUAGCCGGACUGAGAGGUUGGCCGGCCACAUUGGGACUGAGACACGGCCCAG